GCCCAGGUGGCGAAAUGGUAGACGCACAGCCUUGAGGUGGCUGCGACCGCAAGGUCAUGGAAGUUCAACUCUUCUCCUGGGCA
rnacentral:tRNA from 1 species